rnacentral:lncRNA from 10 species
GGCUCUGGGAGUGGCUGCCAGGUGAGUUGAACAGUCCGAUUUCCAGUGGUGUCCCGCACAGAUGGGACACGGCUUAGGAGGAAUCCUGGGCUGUGGGCAUUCCUUGGCCUGGUGGUCAGAUUUCUGGCACUUGUGGCAAGUUCCUGGGGGAGGAGGUUCUGGAGGAAUGCCUGGCCGCUGUGGUUCAGGCGUUUGGAAGUUCUUGUGUGCUGGAGAUGUGGCUGGGGUUUGUCUACAGUGGAGGUGUUGCCUCCCCAGAAACAACACCUGCAAACCCUGUGUUGUGAGGAUCCCUAAAAUCCCUCUGCACCUCGAUUGCUCCGAAAAUAUCAUCAUCAUGGAUUUACUCUUCAACUUUUCCCCAUCCCACCGCCAAGACUAAAUUCUGCUAGUGGUUGACACCCAUAAAAGCUGGCAUACUUCUACUAUUAUAUCAACUUCUGCCAUGUUCUUAGUAAAAUAUCUCCAUGGAAGGCCAAGGAAUCCAGUUUCCAACCACGAUUAACAGAUUGUCUCCUAUUUUUGGAGGAUACUGCUCAAGAGUAUUCAAAUUUGUGUGGCAAUCCUAUUUAAUGCAUAUUUAUUAGAAACUAGGAAUAAGAAAGCUAAUUCUUUCUGAGUUUUCAUGGAGAAAAGAUGUCCAAACCUGGGCUGAAUAAGAAGCUCUGGAUCCCCGAGAUUCCUUUCAUAUUCAAAGCUUUCAAGUUGCCUCUUUAUGUGAAGGUGGUAACUCAUUAUUUCUUCUCAAACCUAUAACUGCAUGCCACCGAGGAAGAAGAAAUGGAAGCAGUGAUAGGACAGGAUGAUGCUUGAAGCAGAAGGUACGGAAGAUCACAUGACUUUCAGCUGUUCUAUGUAAUAGGCCUGGACAGAGGUAUCAGGUUCAGUCUGCGCUUAUAGAACCUUAGGAAAAGACGCUAAGCAGAAUCAGGGAGCAUCUCUGAGAAACAGCCCCAGUUCAUGGCUGGCCUGGAUUUGUUUCCUCUUGAAUUUCCAUUGGCAGAAUCUGCAGCUCUCCUCACUGAACACCUAACUAUUUUUGUCUGGAGAGAGUUGGCCAUGGAAAUCCAAGCACACUAAAGAUUUUGCAGUAUCCAGAGAGAAAGGAUAACAAUACUCAAAUAAGCACUAUAAAUGAUGACUUCAAAAGGCUCCGUGACAAGGAUUGACACUCUUCUUAUCUAUGAAAUGAUUUUUCUUU